AGAGUUUGAUCAUGGCUCAGGAUGAACGCUAGCGGCAGGCCUAACACAUGCAAGUCGAGGGGUAGAGUUCUUCGGGACUUGAGACCGGCGCACGGGUGCGUAACGCGUAUGCAAUCUACCUUAUACAGGGGAAUAGCCCAGAGAAAUUUGGAUUAAUGCCCCAUAGUGUUAUCGAAUCGCAUGGUUUGAUAACUAAAGUUCCAACGGUAUAAGAUGAGCAUGCGUCCCAUUAGUUAGUUGGUAAGGUAACGGCUUACCAAGACAAUGAUGGGUAGGGGUCCUGAGAGGGAGAUCCCCCACACUGGUACUGAGACACGGACCAGACUCCUACGGGAGGCAGCAGUGAGGAAUAUUGGUCAAUGGGCGCAAGCCUGAACCAGCCAUGCCGCGUGCAGGAAGAAGCAUCUAUGGUGUGUAAACUGCUUUUAUACAGGAAGAAACAACUCUACGUGUAGAGUCUUGACGGUACUGUAGGAAUAAGGAUCGGCUAACUCCGUGCCAGCAGCCGCGGUAAUACGGAGGAUCCAAGCGUUAUCCGGAAUCAUUGGGUUUAAAGGGUCCGUAGGCGGCCUUAUAAGUCAGUGGUGAAAUCUCCUAGCUCAACUAGGAAACUGCCAUUGAUACUGUAAGGCUUGAAUUUUUGUGAAGUAACUAGAAUAUGUAGUGUAGCGGUGAAAUGCUUAGAUAUUACAUGGAAUACCAAUUGCGAAAGGCAGGUUACUAACAAACGAUUGACGUUGAUGGACGAAAGCGUGGGGAGCGAACAGGAUUAGAUACCCUGGUAGUCCACGCCGUAAACGAUGGAUACUAGCUGUUCGGAGCAAUCUGAGUGGCUAAGCGAAAGUGAUAAGUAUCCCACCUGGGGAGUACGCACGCAAGUGUGAAACUCAAAGGAAUUGACGGGGGCCCGCACAAGCGGUGGAGCAUGUGGUUUAAUUCGAUGAUACGCGAGGAACCUUACCAGGGCUUGACAUAUACAGGAAUAUGGCAGAGAUGUCAUAGCCGCAAGGUCUGUAUACAGGUGGUGCAUGGUUGUCGUCAGCUCGUGUCGUGAGAUGUUGGGUUAAGUCCCGCAACGAGCGCAACCCUCGUUCUGUGUUGCCAGCAUUUAGUUGGGGACUCACAGGAGACUGCCGGGGUUAACUCGGAGGAAGGUGGGGAUGACGUCAAAUCAUCAUGCCCCUUAUGUCUUGGGCUGCACGCAUGCUACAAUGGCUGGUACAAACGGCUGCGAUACCGCAAGGUGGAGCGAAUCCGAUAAAGCCAGUCUCAGUUCGGAUUGGGGUCUGCAACUCGACCCCAUGAAGUCGGAGUUGCUAGUAAUCGUAGAUCAGCAACGCUACGGUGAAUACGUUCCCGGGGCUUGUACACACCGCCCGUCACAUCACGAAAGUCGGUAACACCCAAAGUCAGUGGCCCAACCGCAAGGAGGGAGCUGCCAAAGGUGGGAUCGGUGAUUGGGAUGAAGUCGUAACAAGGUA
rnacentral:rRNA from 1 species